UGCAUGCGUAGGGCGGAAGUGCUCUAUGCGCGCGGUCUGCCGGGCCUGGGCGCUCAGGCGAUUUGAACUUUGAGCCUCUGUAGUCCUGAUGAACAGUUCCGCUUUCCUCAAAUUUAUGACGCUCAGAACUUCAAGAAUUGGAGAUUCAUGCAAUUUGAGACCGGUCAUCACUGUGCAGUUCAGAGUACUAAGAGACUGAGAUUAAAAUGGCUUCCAGAGGAAAGACAGAGACAAGCAAAUUAAAGCAGAAUUUAGAAGAACAGCUGGAUAGACUAAUGCAGCAGUUACAAGAUUUGGAGGAAUGCAGG